rnacentral:rRNA from 1 species
CGACGGCGCACGGUGAGUAACGCGUAUGCAACUUACCUAUCAGAGGGGGAUAGCCCGGCGAAAGUCGGAUUAAUACCCCAUAAAACAGGGGUCCCGCAUGGGAAUAUUUGUUAAAGAUUCAUCGCUGAUAGAUAGGCAUGCGUUCCAUUAGGCAGUUGGCGGGGUAACGGCCCACCAAACCGACGAUGGAUAGGGGUUCUGAGAGGAAGGUCCCCCACAUUGGUACUGAGACACGGACCAA